CUGUUAAAUAAGAAGUGUGAACAUCAUCAAUGUUUUUUCAGUGAUAUUUUAUUGCAUUUUAGGAAAAGAUGUUUUGUUGGAAUUGAUUACAAAUUAGACAGCACAAAACACCAUCCAGGUGAUCGUCCGUUUAUAUAUUUAAAAAGGUAAGGCAUAUAUGGCAGGUAUGGAUAUUAAAUAGAGCUGUUAGAAAAGAAUGAGUGUGUUCAUGAAGUAUUUCAGAGUAUAAAUUU